rnacentral:lncRNA from 1 species
GGCAUCUUGGAGCAGGUUCUCGGCAGGGUAUCGAGCUGAGUACUAUAAAAUGUAUUCACUCGAUACGUGCAGAGAGUGUAACAUAACAUACAAAAACUGCAUUCCAGGCUACGCAGGAAGGGGGAAGAGAGGGGAGCUGCAGGGGAUUUACAGCGAGAACUCACACCCAGGCUUCUGCUCCAACUUCUGCCAGAUGUGCACAGGCUUCCCUGAGUAGAGUUGUGAAUUGAUCGGAGUGAUCGAGAUGACAUUCUCUUCACUUGAAGCAGAGACGUUCUGAUUGAAGUCAUCAUUGUUCCUGUUGAAUUCUUUCUCGUGUGUUAGCUUUCUACUGCUUCUACUGGUCAGUUUUGACCCGAGUCUUAAAUUCGCCGUAGCCAGGGUUUUGAAAUUGGUGAGGUCUGGAGGGGUCCGGAAUUUAUUAAAUGUUAAUUUAAUAUAUAUUUUUUCAUUGUAUAGCAGCCAUCUAGGGAAGGUUUUCACCACUGUUCUAAGCUUAGCGUUCUCCUUUAGUGGAUAAAGGCGCCUCUCACCCUGGUUCACUGGCGUCCCAAAGCUUUAGAAAUGUUCUAAUAAUUUAAUUAUUCAUUUAUUAACCUCUCUUGUGUUCCACACAUCCCCAAAAAUCCUGCCUGUCAUUUUGAUUUAAUUGUGUAUAGUUAAAGGGGUCCAAAGUGAUGCAUUGUUAAAUGAAAUAACUGUGAUAAUGAUUUUUUUUUUUUGCAUGGGGUGAAAGAAAUUCAAGAACAGAUGAAAAACCUUAUAAUUGACACCUACGGUACCGGUCUGGAAAGUGUUACAAAGACUU